rnacentral:rRNA from 1 species
CGGACGGGUGAGUAACGCGUGGGUAACCUGCCUCAUACAGGGGGAUAACAGUUAGAAAUGGCUGCUAAUACCGCAUAAGCGCACGGUACUGCAUGGUACAGUGUGAAAAACUCCGGUGGUAUGAGAUGGACCCGCGUCUGAUUAGGUAGUUGGUGGGGUAACGGCCUACCAAGCCGACGAUCAGUAGCCGACCUGAGAGGGUGACCGGCCACAUUGGGACUGAGACACGGCCCAG